CCUACGGGAGGCAGCAGUCGAGAAUCAUUCACAAUGGGGGAAACCCUGAUGGUGCGACGCCGCGUGGGGGAAUGAAGGUCUUCGGAUUGUAAACCCCUGUCAUGUGGGAGCAAAUUAAAAAGAUAGUAUCCCAAGAGGAAGAGACGGCUAACUCUGUGCCAGCAGCCGCGGUAAUACAGAGGUCUCAAGCGUUGUUCGGAAUCACUGGGCGUAAAGCGUGCGUAGGCUGUUUCGUAAGUCGUGUGUGAAAGGUGCGGGCUCAACCCGCGGACGGCACAUGAGACUGCGAGACUAGAGUAAUGGAGGGGGAGCCGGAAUUCUCGGUGUAGCAGUGAAAUGCGUAGAUAUCGAGAGGAACACUCGGGGCGAAGGCGGGUUCCUGGACAGUAACUGACGCUGAGGCACGAAGGCCAGGGGAGCGAAAGGGAUUAGAUACCCGAGUAGUC
rnacentral:rRNA from 1 species